rnacentral:misc_RNA from 1 species
GUAGGUGAACCUGCGGAAGGAUCAUUAACGAGUAAACAAGAGAGUUGUAGCUGGCCGCAAGGCAUGUGCACGCUCUCUACUCAAUCCAACCUUACACCUGUGCACCUAUUGUAGGUCGAGUGGCUGGACUUGUUCUGGCCGCUCUUCCUAUGUUUUACACAUACACUUGUAGUCUCAGAAUGUAAUCCGCGUAUAACGCAUUAUAAAACAACUUUCAACAACGGAUCUCUUGGCUCUC